GCCUGCAGCCCAAUCUGGCCAAGGGAAGGAUAUUUCAGCUGUUGGCUCGGUGGCCACUUCACAAUUGCUGUUCAGCGGCAUGGCAACACCCUUCCCCUUCUGCCAGGCACCAGCUGCUGCAUGCUGGGAAAAGAGGAACUUAAAAUUGUUCUUGGCUGAGUCUUUCAGCAACUUGGCAGCCCUGAACUCAUGGAUAUUUUGAUACUUACCACACCCUGCCUGUCUCACCUACACUUCCUUGACUGAUACUAAGAUGCUGCAACUAGUAUUAGCUCUGGCCUUGCCUACAAUAUUGAAGUUCCUGUUUGCUUUGUGUCUCUCCUCUGGCCCUGAUGAUGAGACUUCUCUUUUCAUUCCGAGAAUCUUCUACAACAUGACCCAAACACCACAGGACUUUGUUGGUGUUUGGUACAGAACUGUGCUUUCUGGGCCCUUUGUCAACAUUGUUUCUUGACAAAAACCAUCAGUCCUGACCAGAAAGCUUGAACAGAAACUCACAUAGGCCCCUUGGGGGAGAGCGUCACUCAAACAGAAACCAACAACUGGGAAAGAGGACGAUACUUUGAAUGAGAGACUUGUAAGAGGUGAGUUCAAAUUGUGAAGAACACAAGCAUGCUUUAGCGA
rnacentral:lncRNA from 1 species